AAGGAUUUCUUAUAAUCUCCCACACCCCCCCCCCCCCCCCCCUUCUUCCUCCCCCUUUAAGAUUAGCGUAUUCCGCAACAAAAAUUAAAAGACGCGGCACUCCAAACGCCAAAGGGAGGGAAAGAGUAUUUUAACCCUUCUGGAAUAUUAAGAGGGUUACGGGCGGGGCGGGGGUAGAAUUCCUUUGGAAAUUUGCCCUUGUGUGGGGGAUAACCCUGGGAAACGGUGGCUAAUUCCGCUUAAACCCUUCGGGUCAAAAGGGGGAACUUUGGGCCCUCCCGGUUCAAGAAUAGCCCUAGGUGGGAUUAGCUAGUUGGUGAGGUAAUGGCUCACCAAGGCGACGAUCCCUAGCUGGUUUGAGAGGAUGAUCAGCCACACUGGAAUUGAGACCCGGUCCAGACUCCUUCGGGAGGCAGCAGUGGGGAAUAUUGCCCAAUGGGCGCAAGCCUGAUGCAGCCAUCCCGCGUGGUUGAAGAAGGCCUUCGGGUUGUAAAGCACUUUCAGUCGUGAGGAAGGUAGUGUAGUUAAUAGCUGCAUUAUUUGACGUUAGCGACAGAAGAAGCACCGGCUAACUCCGUGCCAGCAGCCGCGGUAAUACGGAGGGUGCGAGCGUUAAUCGGAAUUACUGGGCGUAAAGCGCAUGCAGGUGGUUUGUUAAGUCAGAUGUGAAAGCCCGGGGCUCAACCUCGGAAUAGCAUUUGAAACUGGCAGACUAGAGUACUGUAGAGGGGGGUAGAAUUUCAGGUGUAGCGGUGAAAUGCGUAGAGAUCUGAAGGAAUACCGGUGGCGAAGGCGGCCCCCUGGACAGAUACUGACACUCAGAUGCGAAAGCGUGGGGAGCAAACAGGAUUAGAUACCCUGGUAGUCCACGCCGUAAACGAUGUCUACUUGGAGGUUGUGGCCUUGAGCCGUGGCUUUCGGAGCUAACGCGUUAAGUAGACCGCCUGGGGAGUACGGUCGCAAGAUUAAAACUCAAAUGAAUUGACGGGGGCCCGCACAAGCGGUGGAGCAUGUGGUUUAAUUCGAUGCAACGCGAAGAACCUUACCUACUCUUGACAUCCAGAGAACUUUCCAGAGAUGGAUUGGUGCCUUCGGGAACUCUGAGACAGGUGCUGCAUGGCUGUCGUCAGCUCGUGUUGUGAAAUGUUGGGUUAAGUCCCGCAACGAGCGCAACCCUUAUCCUUGUUUGCCAGCACUUUCGGGUGGGAACUCCAGGGGAGACUGCCCGGUGAUAAACCGGGAAGGAAGGUGGGGACGAACGUCAAGUCAUCAUGGGCCCUUACGAGGUAGGGCUACACACGUUGCUACAAUGGGCGCAUACAGAGGGGCCGGCCAACUUUGCGAGAGUGGAGCGAAUCCCAAAAAGUGCGGUCGUAGUCCCGGGAUCGGAGUCUGCAACUCGACUCGCCGUGAAGUCGGAAUCGCUAGUAAUCGUGGAUCAGAAUGCCACGGUGAAAUACGUUCCCGGGCCUUGUACACACCGCCCGUCACACCAUGGGAUGUGGGCUGCAAAAGAAGUAGGUAGUUUAACCUUCGGGAGGACGCUACCACUUGGUCCAUGGGGGUAGGGGUGCU
rnacentral:rRNA from 1 species